GACAAAGACUUAGUCCUAACCUUACUGUUGGUUGUUGCUAGGUAUAUACAUGCGAGUAUCCGCGCGCCAGUGUAGACGCCCUGGGUCCCCUAAUCCCUAGGUCGACAGGAGCAGGCAUCAGGCACACCCAUAAUCGUAGCCCAAAACGUCUUGCAAUUGCCACGCCCCCACGGGUUCUCAGCAGUAGUUAACAUUAAGCAAUGAGUGUAAACUUGACUUAGCCAUAGCAAUCCCAAGGGUCGGUCAAUCCUGUGCCAGCCACCGCGGUCAUACAGGAGACCCAAAUCAACUUUAUAACGGCGUAAAGAGUGGUCACAUGCUAUCCAAAGUAACUAAGAUUAAAAGGUAACUGAGCUGUCGCAAGCCAAAGAUGCCCAUAAGGCCACCUCCAAAGAAGAUCUUAGACAAACGAUCAAUUGAAUUCCACGAAAGCCAGGGCCCAAACUGGGAUUAGAUACCCCACUAUGCCUGGCCCUAAAUCUUGAUGCUCGAUCUUACCGGAGCAUCCGCCCGAGAACUACGAGCACCAACGCUUAAAACUCUAAGGACUUGGCGGUGCCCCAAACCCACCUAGAGGAGC
rnacentral:rRNA from 1 species